rnacentral:lncRNA from 1 species
GCCUGCUGCAUGGCCUCGCGAGCGUUGUCAACAGGCUUGCUUGGGUCCCAGGUCUCCCAGUCAGGGCACAGGCCUGGAGCACAGCUGUCAACGAGAGCCCCGAGUGCUUUGCCAUCCUGCCAGUUUUGAUUGAAGUUUGUGAUGGGCAGGUAAGGGAUCUUGUUCUGAAUCCAGCCCAGCAGCCUUUGCUUGGGAGUCUGCUUCUUUGCAUCAUCGUCACCUUCAUCCUCCCACACAGGCAUGGAAAUCGAGUAGUGGAGGAUAAGGGUCCAUAUCAGACCAAGGAUCAACUUCAAGUUUCCAUCAACUAUGGCUUUGCUAUCGAUGGAGACCAGCUUGAUGCUCUCCCGCUCCAGGAACUCGAGGGCGACGGAGACGUUCUCCAGCUGCAUCUGGCGGAAGGUGGGCCGCUGGUGGUACUUGCGGUACAUGCGCUUCUGGCUGAGCACCUCGAGCAGCGCGAUCAGCCGCAGCCCGUCGCUCAGGUCGUGCUGCAGGUUGCCGAUGCGCUUGUUGACGCAGCGCAGGUGCUCAUUGCACCAACGGGUGAAGGUGUUCUGCUGGAUCCGCUUCCAGGGCGCGUCCUCCGCCAGGUCCUUCUCGGUGGCCGGCAUCUCGCCGUCGGGAUCGGCCGCUCUGCGCCCGCCCUGGCCCCGCGCCUGCGUGCUCAUGGCGCUGCCCCGCUCCGCCCCCGCCGCCGCCGCUCCGCCCCCGGUCCCGCCCGGCCGCGCGCCGCCCGCCGCCUGCGGGCAGAGAGAGGGAGAGCGGGGAGAGCGCGGCGCUCAGCGGCCGCUUCGCGCCUCUCGGUGCCGCCGCCCCGCUGUUCGGCCCGGCCCCAAAUGCGUUGCGUUGCGUUGCGCCGCUCCCCUCUCUGCCGCCGCCCGCCCGGCACUGCGCGGGCCCCGCGCCGCCGCCCGGCCUUUAUCCGGCGGGAGCGGCACGCCCUCGGCUGCAUCACCCUCCGCGCCCCGCCGGGCCGGGCGGAGGGGCUGCGCGCGGCCGGGGUGGGCCGGGCCGGGCCGGGCCGCGGCGUGGCGGGGCUUCGGCGGGGCCGUACCUGGGGGUGCGCGGGGAGCGCCGGGAUGACCCCCGGGGGGUAACGCGGGGUCGGGGUGCAGCCCCCGUGGCACCGCUGCGGGGCCGGGGGCGCGGCCCCCACGGUGUUAAGGCAGGGCCGGGGGUGCGGCCCCGCGUUACGGAACGGAUGGCGGGGGGUGCAGCCCUCGUGGCGCUAAUGGAGGUCCGGGGCUGUCGUACCUGUGGCGCUGAGGCACGACCAGGUGCAGCCUCCAUAGCGGUAACGCACGGCCUGUGUGCGACCCCCGUGGCGGUGACGCACGGCCGGGUACGGCCCCACGGCGCUAACGGGUGGCCGGGGCAAAGCCCCGUGGCGCUGCUGCACGCCUGGGGGUGCAGCCCCUACGGCUCGGGCACGCGCGCGGCACCCCGCAGCACGGCCACCGGUGCCCCCGUGGUGUUCGGGCGCCGUCCCGCAGCGCGGUGCCGCUCACGUAGCGGACCCCCGGUGCGGUGACGGCCGGGAGCAGUGCCCGGCGCUGCGGGGGGUCGGGGGGUCGCAGCGGUGCGGAGCCGCGCUGGCAGAGGGCGGGCAGGCCGAGGAGCAGCCCGCCCCGCGCUGACUAACGCGCUCUUAUCAACCGCUCAAACAAAAUGUAAACUUCAAAAAGCAACCAAGUAAGGCUCGAAUUCUCGGGGGUUUCUCCUUUUUUUUUUUUUUUUUCCAUUUUUGUGACUGAUUUCCUGGCUGGCCCCUCCCUGCCGACAUACAGACUGGGACUUGCCGCUGACUCACCGAUGACAGCAAAAAGUCAACAGAACUAUCCCAUCUGCGUGCUCCGCGCUGACUCCGCAGGAGCUGCCGAGACGUCCCGUGACCCCGAGCCGCUCGGUGCUGGCAUCGGGGAGGUGUCCCCGCGCGUCCCACGGCCCCGUGCCCACCCCGCACACUUACGGCUGCUCCUGGCACAGCUCCGCCGGCUCCGGGCGCGGUGUCCGCGUGUCGCCGCUCUCACGCCGAGGGAUGGGAGCCGGGGAGCUCCGGUUCCGCCGCUCCGCUCGCUGCCGCCGCCGCCCAGCACAGCCGAUCCCGCACG